rnacentral:misc_RNA from 1 species
ACUUGCUCAAUUCCAAUAACACAGGUCCGCCAAAAUUAAAUUUGGAUUAACAUUGGCUUUUGUUUGAAUGUGUGUGUUUGUUAUUCCAAUUCUUGUUGAACUAAUAACACAGGUCCGCUAAGGUUAACUUUGCUUUCUUUUUGAAUGUGUGUGUCUGUCAUUCCAAUUUUUUAAACUAAUAACACAGGUCCGCUGAAGUCAACAUUGGCUUUGAUUUUGGAUGUCUGUGUCUGUAUCUCCAAUUUUUGUUGAACUAAUAACACAGG